rnacentral:rRNA from 1 species
UGCAGUCGACGGUAACAGGGGUAGCAAUACCUGCUGACGAGUGGCGUACGGGUGCKWAACACGUACACAAUCUGCCUUAUACUGGAGCAUACCCCCAAGAAAUUGGGACUAACUCUCCAUAACAUUUUGAAGCGGCAUCGCUUUAAAAUUAAAACUCCGGKGGUAUAARAKRAKKGKGCSYUCRAUWARAURGUUGGKGAGGUAACGGCUCACCAAGUCAACGAUCGAUAGCUGGUCUGAGAGGACGAUCAGCCACACGGGCACUGAGACACGGGCCCGACUCCUACGGGAGGCAGCAGUAGGGAAUAUUGGACAAUGGGCGCAAGCCUGAUCCAGCCAUCCCGCGUGAAGGAUUAAGGCCCUCUGGGUUGUAAACUUCUUUUCUCUGGGAAUAAAAAGUGGGAUUUAUCCUGCCUUGAAGGUACCARAGGAAUAAGCACCGGCUAACUCCGUGCCAGCAGCCGCGGUAAUACGGAGGGUGCAAGCGUUAUCCGGAUUCACUGGGUUUAAAGGGUGCGUAGGUGGCUUUGUAAGUCAGUGGUGAAAUAUUGCGGCUCAACCGCAAAACUGCCAUUGAUACUGCUUAGCUUGAAUCAAGUCGAGGUGGAUGGAAUAAUACAUGUAGCGGUGAAAUGCUUAKAUAUGUAUUAGAACACCGAUUGCGAAGGCAGUUCACUAGGCUUGUAUUGACACUGAGGCACGAAAGCGUGGGGAUCAAACAGGAUUAGAUACCCUGGUAGUCCA